rnacentral:rRNA from 1 species
AGUGAACGCUGGCGGUAGGCCUAACACAUGCAAGUCGAACGGCAGCACAGUAAGAGCUUGCUCUUACGGGUGGCGAGUGGCGGACGGGUGAGGAAUACAUCGGAAUCUACUUUUUCGUGGGGGAUAACGUAGGGAAACUUACGCUAAUACCGCAUACGACCUACGGGUGAAAGCAGGGGAUCUUCGGACCUUGCGCGAUUGAAUGAGCCGAUGUCGGAUUAGCUAGUUGGCGGGGUAAAGGCCCACCAAGGCGACGGUCCGUAGCUGGUCUGAGAGGUUGAUCAGCCACACUGGAACUGAGACACGGUCCAGACUCCUACGGGAGGGAGCAGUGGGGAAUAUUGGACAAUGGGCGCAAGCCUGAUCCAGCCAUACCGCGUGGGUGAAGAAGGCCUUCGGGUUGUAAAGCCCUUUUGUUGGGAAAGAAAAGCAGCAGGUUAAUACCCCGCUGUUCUGACGGUACCCAAAGAAUAAGCACCGGCUAACUUCGCG